GGUUAAGCGACUAAGCGUACACGGUGGAUGCCCUGGCAGUCAGAGGCGAUGAAGGGCGUGCUAAUCUGCGAUAAGCGCCGGUAAGGUGAUAUGAACCGUUAUAACCGGCGAUACCCGAAUGGGGAAACCCAGUGUGAUUCGUCACACUAUCAUUAACUGAAUCCAUAGGUUAAUGAGGCGAACCGGGGGAACUGAAACAUCUAAGUACCCCGAGGAAAAGAAAUCAACCGAGAUUCCCCCAGUAGCGGCGAGCGAACGGGGAGGAGCCCAGAGCCUGAAUCAGCAUGUGUGUUAGUGGAAGCGUCUGGAAAGGCGCGCGAUACAGGGUGACAGCCCCGUACACAAAAGCGCAUGUGCUGUGAGCUCGAUGAGUAGGGCGGGACACGUGGUAUCCUGUCUGAAUAUGGGGGGACCAUCCUCCAAGGCUAAAUACUCCUGACUGACCGAUAGUGAACCAGUACCGUGAGGGAAAGGCGAAAAGAACCCCGGCUAGGGGAGUGAAAAAGAACCUGAAACCGUGUACGUACAAGCAGUGGGAGCACAGGUUUACCUGUGUGACUGCGUACCUUUUGUAUAAUGGGUCAGCGACUUAUAUUCUGUAGCAAGGUUAACCGAAUAGGGGAGCCGGAGGGAAACCGAGUCUUAAUUGGGCGUUAAGUUGCAGGGUAUAGACCCGAAACCCGGUGAUC
rnacentral:rRNA from 1 species